rnacentral:piRNA from 5 species
UGGAACGAUACAGAGAAGAUUAGCAUGGCC